rnacentral:rRNA from 1 species
CCUACGGGGGGCAGCAGUGGGGAAUAUUGCACAAUGGGGGAAACCCUGAUGCAGCGACGCCGCGUGAAGGAAGAAGUAUUUCGGUAUGUAAACUUCUAUCAGCAGGGAAGAAAAUGACGGUACCUGACUAAGAAGCCCCGGCUAACUACGUGCCAGCAGCCGCGGUAAUACGUAGGGGGCAAGCGUUAUCCGGAUUUACUGGGUGUAAAGGGAGCGUAGGCGGUUUAGCAAGUCAGAAGUGAAAGCCCGGGGCUCAACUCCGGGACUGCUUUUGAAACUGUUGAACUAGAUUGCAGGAGAGGUAAGUGGAAUUCCUAGUGUAGCGGUGAAAUGCGUAGAUAUUAGGAGGAACACCAGUGGCGAAGGCGGCUUACUGGACUGUAAAUGACGCUGAGGCUCGAAAGCGUGGGGAGCAAACAGGAUUAGAUACCCUGGUAG